UACGUAGGGGGGCAAGCGUUGUCCGGAAUCAUUGGGCGUAAAGAGCGUGUAGGCGGCCCCGGUAAGUCCGCUGUGAAAGUCCAGGGCUCAACCCUGGGAUGCCGGUGGAUACUGUCGGGCUCGAGUCCGGAAGAGGAGUGUGGAAUUCCUGGUGUAGCGGUGAAAUGCGCAGAUAUCGGGAGGAACACCUAUGGCGAAGGCAGCUCGCUGGGACGUUACUGACGCUGAGACGCGAAAGCGUGGGGAGCAAACAGG
rnacentral:rRNA from 1 species